UUCACAAAUGAGACUAUGAAGUCUAUUUUCGUAAAGUUAAAGAAAGUUAAUAGGAAUUUUCUUUCCUUUUUUUCCCCUUAGGAAAAAAAAAUCUCCUCUACUCUUAUUUUACAUUCAAGUCAACAUUUUCAGUGAGAUGGGGAGCCAAACAAAAUGAGAUAGGACUAAUGUUGAGGCAAGAAGAUUACUUGGAGUUAAAGGCCAAGUUGACCUAUAUAGUGGACACUAGAUCAUCCAGAGCCACACAUCAAGACUCUGAAUUAAAAAAAAAUAAAAAGCUCCUCUUCCAUGACAAUCUACCAAUCACAGGAGGGAGGCAAGACUUAAGGAAGAGCAAGUCAUUUAAAGAUUGUCGUUAUGUCUUCACUUCAAUGUUGUAGAGCAAAACAUCCUAGGAAAUCUACUUAAAAGAAGAAAGAUUUUGGUUCACAGUUUCAGAAGUCUGGAGCACAGUUGAUUUCAUUGCUUUUGGGCUUGGUCAGCAAAAACAGCAGGGUAAAAAGGCAUGGUGAGGAUGUGAACCCUCAGCUUCUCUUCCAGCAGCCAUGGCUCCCGUCUGUUGCCUUUGCUCUGCCAUCAUGGACUCUAACCCUCUGGGAUUGUACACACAAACUCCUAAUAAACUCUUGCUUCUAUGAA